AGGAGCACUGAAGGAGUUAAAUUUUACUGUAAGUAACGAGUCCUCCCCCUGCAAACCUUAGUGUCGGGAGGAAUUUCGACCGGAGUGCAUGCGCUUCGUCUGUGUGAGUAAAAAUGUUCCACGGUGAGACGACAAAAGGCGCCAAAAUAAGAUUCGAGAGCAAAAUGCCUCGUAAAUAUAAAAGGAAACAGGGUGUUGUCCCUCGUACUGUAACCUAGACCGAAGACAGUAUGCUAGCAGCAUUUGAAGAGAUGAAAAAGGGAGAGAAAGGCGUAAAUCAGGUUUCUAGAAUAUAAGGAAUACCAUCUAAAAUAUUAAGACAAAGAUUUGCCAAAUUCUUAUUUUCAAAGUUACUGUAUGUGUACUGUUGUUUUAAAUUUGAGUUACUUUUACUUUGUAUUGUAUUGCAUCAUAUCAUUGUAGUUACUGUCUG